GACGAACGCUGGCGGCGUGCUUAACACAUGCAAGUCGAACGGAAAGGCCCUGCUUUUGCGGGGUGCUCGAGUGGCGAACGGGUGAGUAACACGUGAGUAACCUGCCCUGGACUUUGGGAUAACUUCAGGAAACUGGGGCUAAUACCGGAUAGGAGCUCGUGCUGCAUGGUGGGGGUUGGAAAGUUUCGGCGGUUGGGUAUGGACUCGCGGCUUAUGAGCUUGUUGGUGGGGUAGUGGCUUACCAAGGCUUUGACGGGUAGCCGGCCUGAGAGGGUGACCGGCCACAUUGGCACUGAGAUACGGCCCAGACUCCUACGGGAGGCAGAAGUGGGGAAUAUUGCACAAUGGGCGGAAGCCUGAUGCAGCAACGCCGCGUGCGGGAUGACGGCCUUCGGGUUGUAAACCGCUUUCGCCUGUGACGAAGCGUGAGUGACGGUAAUGGGUAAAGAAGCACCGGCUAACUACGUG
rnacentral:rRNA from 1 species